rnacentral:rRNA from 1 species
GAUGAACGCUAGCGGGAGGCCUAACACAUGCAAGCCGAGCGGUAGAGAUUCUUCGGAAUCUUGAGAGCGGCGUACGGGUGCGGAACACGUGUGCAACCUGCCUUUAUCAGGGGGAUAGCCUUGCGAAAGGAAGAUUAAUACCCUAUAAUAUAUUGAUUGGCAUCCAUUGAUAUUGAAAACUCCGGUGGAUAAAGGUGGACACGCGCAAGAUUAGAUAGUUGGUGAGGUAACGGCUCACCAAGUCGAUGAGCUUUAGGGGGCCUGAGAGGGUGAUCCCCCACACUGGUACUGAGACACGGACCAGACUCCUACGGGAGGCAGCAGUGAGGAAUAUUGGACAAUGGGUGAGAGCCUGAUCCAGCCAUCCCGCGUGAAGGACGACGGUUCUAUGGAUUGUAAACUUCUUUUAUAUAGGGAUAAACCUACUUACGUGUAAGUAGCUGAAGGUACUAUAUGAAUAAGCACCGGCUAACUCCGUGCCAGCAGCCGCCGCCG